rnacentral:tRNA from 1 species
GCAGUGGUAGUUCAGUGGUAAAAUUCUUACCUUCCAUGUGGAGGACCUGGGUUCAAUUCCUGGCUAAUGCA